rnacentral:rRNA from 1 species
GAUCAUGGCUCAGAACGAACGCUGGCGGCAGGCCUAACACAUGCAAGUCGAGCGCGCCCUUCGGGGUGAGCGGCGGACGGGUUAGUAACGCGUGGGAACGUACCCUUUGGUAGGGAAUAGCCACUGGAAACGGUGAGUAAUACCCUAUGAGCCCUUCGGGGGAAAGAUUUAUCGCCAAAGGAUCGGCCCGCGUUAGAUUAGGUAGUUGGUGGGGUAAUGGCCUACCAAGCCUACGAUCUAUAGCUGGUUUUAGAGGAUGAUCAGCAACACUGGGACUGAGACACGGCCCAGACUCCUACGGGAGGCAGCAGUGGGGAAUCUUGGACAAUGGGGGCAACCCUGAUCCAAGCCAUGCCGCGUGAGUGAAGAAGGCCUUAGGGUCGUAAAGCUCUUUCGCCUGUGAAGAUAAUGACGGUAGCAGGUAAAGAAACCCCGGCUAACUCCGUGCCAGCAGCUGC